CUGCGCACAAUAGCGCGCCGGCUCCUCUAUCUAUUUUGUGUCCAGCCGGGAGCCGCGAACGAUGAUUCAUUGCCCCAAUUAGGGGCUCUCUCCAGCGCGCCUGGCUCGAGCCAUCUGAAGGGUCUCCUCGGGGACCCACAGAAACCCAUCAGUGGCUACAGCUGCUCUUUAAGUUAAAGGUCAAGCAGGACGCGGGAGGAGCCAGUGGUUGAGGUGUUUCUGCUACGGCCUGUCUGCACUCCGAGGUGAGCGGGGCACUGUGACGAGGUCACACAAACAGUCUGAGGGAGGAGAGCCACUGCGGUCAACAAGAUAAAAGGAGGGAGGUCGCGUUUUCUUGGCUAAGCUGGAAUCAUCCAGGAGAACUUCCUGAGAGGUGAGCGUAGUGGACCUGAAACGCGGCGACAGAUGCUCACAGGCAGACCCAGCCUUGGGAACGGGGAGGAAACACCCCUCUUGGUUCUGCAGACCAGAGGCUGCCAACAUGGAGCAUCUGGGCACCUCGCAAAUUUGAAACUUCUUGCUGGGUUGUCCUAGCCCAAAAACCACAGGAAUCAGCCCUCACCCCGUCGGGAGAGUUAGUUUCCAGGCUCCAAGCACAUAGCACAGGUGAUGGUGUGUAUCUGUCACUAGGCCUGCCUCUCCGACUAGGGCAGAGUCUGGGUGGCUUUCCUUGUCCUGUCCCAGUGUCACAAGGCUGGCGAUACAGUAGGGGCCCAAUCCAUGUUUGAACCUGGGAUGCCAGACUGUAUCCCAAACCUUCCAAGUUCCAGAAUCACCCAGCCUUCCACUGCUCUGUCUUCUAGUCUCAUUCUUCCCCAGUGCCAGCAAUGCAGAGCAAAGUCUCCCAUGUGCCUUUAGCUUUUCCGGACCCCAUAGCCCCACUUCCCUUCUCACUGGGGCCUUUGCCCGUUUCCUUCUCCUCCUACACUGCGCAUGCGCUUCUGGCAACCCUCCCAGGACCCAUUUACCUUCCUAGGCUGGUCCAUCCUUCCUCUUUUAGAGGCUACGUAUGCUGUGUGUUUGGCCUCUAGCUCACUGGGGACCAGAAAAACAAAAUUUAUCAUCUGACUGCCCUAUUUUUUCUUUCUUUCUUUUUUUUUUUUUUGCCUACGAAUGAAGCAAGUAUUUUUCUGUGCUAUCCUCAGAAAGAGCUUCAAACAUGGCAGGCCACCAGCAAAAGUAUGUCCUCCUUUUUAGAGGAAGGAAUGCAACCCUUAACAAUAAAAUUAAAUUAAAAAAUCCUGGGAUUUAUGGAGACCUUGGGUUUAUGAACCGUUGCACAUCUGUUAGGUCUUAUGACGUAGCAAAGCGGGAACCACCGUUUCCAUGUGAGAGACGGGGAAACUGAGGCGCAAGGGUACAGGUCCUGGGACCCAGAUAAGCUCCCAGCUGCUGGCACUGGUGAAGUCGCCUUGCCUUUUGUAUGUGUAAACUGUGCUAAUUCGUUCAAUGUAAACAUUAAAAAAUAUGCAGGUUUGGUGACUCUAUCUUAACAUCCCUUCUGUUUUCAAAUACAGUAGCCUUGGAGAGUGGAAGCAGAGGGACCACUUUCCAUCUUGGGGGCCUAAGACGAACGAGGCAGAAGUAUUUUGUAAGCUGCAAAGUGCUUUCUUAAAAUAAAAAUAAAAAUCACUGCCUGCAUUACACAGUUAAGAGUACAGGGUACAGAUUCAAAGAGCAGAAUCGGGUGCCCCUAAAAACUUGCCUGGCUCCCAUUAACCUGGAAAACGAAUCCAGAAGCAAACAGCCCCGUCUCCCCCUCCGGGAGACACCAUUCCUCCAACCUUCUCCAUCUUGAAAUCCCAGGCUACGGCCAUGAACUUCGGGGCCUCGUAAAACUCCUUUGAUAAAUGAUCGCCAGGGUGGACCUGCCACUGGGGAUGAUGGGACAAACACUCCACAUAAAUCUUGAGUGUACUCAAAGACUCCCUUGCUGCUGGCUUCUCACCAGACCCCUGAUUUGCAGCACAAAAUCCACAGCAAUUAUUUAUGUGGUUAGUUCCCAGGCUUCUGAGCCAGGGAGGUUUCUAGAGAAGGUAGGGCAUGGGCGGAUGGGGGAAGGGUGGAACAAAAGUCGAAGGUGCGACUUGGGGCUGCCUUACGGGUGCUGGGCAGGCCCUGGGCCCUCAAUACAAAUCAGUCAUGGCCUCCCGCGUGUAAUGAUAGCAGCUAAUGUUUACUGGAUGCUGACUGCAUGCCAGGUGCUAUGUUCAGAGCUUACCUCAUCAUCUAGUUUAGAGACCUCAUGACAGCCUGACAAAUAGGCAUGACGGUUACCUGAUUUUACCGAUGGGGACACUGAGGCUUGGAAUGUUGAACACACGUCCCCAAGUCACAGAGCCGGGAAGUGGUAGAGUUGUAUUCAAACCCAAGAGCCUGGCUCUCAUGUGCACUGCCGUGUGCCCAGCUCCUGGCCUGCCAGGCAGCCUCCCCUGAUCCUUUGCAAUAAAGCAUCCUUGUCCCUGGCUGGUCCUGCCCGGGAGGUUAAUGGUCAGGGCUUGCUGAACGCCUUUGAGUCCGGCCGAGGACUCCACCAGGGGCCCCGCCCCAGCCCUGGCUCCCCUGACUCUCAGCAGCCAAGCUCUCAGGCCCUGGAAUACUCAGUGGGCUGCCGCAGCUCCUCUGCACUGGCUAGCAGGGGGGCUGGGAAGUCAGCACCAACAGAUUCUUUCCAGCUGUUGCUCUGAGUCACUGCAGGAUAUUCCAAAGCCUGACCGCCAGCCCGCCUGCCCUGGUCUUUUAUUUCUGCGGUUAGUUGGUGCUGGACUCAUUGAUGGGGAUGUAAACGGGGCCCGAAGCAUGUAUCC